GUGAACGCUGGCGGUAGGCCUAACCCAUGCAAGUCGAACGGCAGCACAGUAAGAGCUUGCUCUUACGGGUGGCGAGUGGCGGACGGGUGAGGAAUACAUCGGAAUCUACUUUUUCGUGGGGGAUAACGUAGGGAAACUUACGCUAAUACCGCAUACGACCUACGGGUGAAAGCAGGGGAUCUCCGGACCUUGCGCGAUUGAAUGAGCCGAUGUCGGAUUAGCUAGUUGGCGGGGUAAAGGCCCACCAAGGCGACGAUCCGUAGCUGGUCUGAGAGGAUGAUCAGCCACACUGGAACUGAGACACGGUCCAGACUCCUACGGGAGGCAGCAGUGGGGAAUAUUGGACAAUGGGCGCAAGCCUGAUCCAGCCAUACCGCGUGGGUGAAGAAGGCCUUCGGGUUGUAAAGCCCUUUUGUUGGGAAAGAAAAGCAGCAGGUUAAUACCCCGCUGUUCUGACGGUACCCAAAGAAUAAGCACCGGCUAACUUCGUG
rnacentral:rRNA from 1 species